GAUGAACGCUAGCGGCAGGCCUAAUACAUGCAAGUCGAACGAUACCAAAGGGCUUGGUUUCCGGGAAAGUGGCGCACGGGUGCGUAACGCGUAUGCAACCUACCUUAAUCAGGGGGAUAGCAUCUCGAAAGAGAGAUUAACACCGCAUAAAAUCACACUACGGCAUCGAAGAAUGAUCAAAUAUUUAUAGGAUUAAGAUGGGCAUGCGUGACGUGAGCUAGUUGGUGAGGUAACGGCGCACCAAGGCUACGAUGUCUAGGGGAUCUGAGAGGAUGACCCGCCUAACAGGUACUGCGACACGGACCAGACUCCGACGGGAGGCAGCAGUAAGGUAGAUUGGUCAAUGGAGGCAACUCUGAACCAGCCAUGCCGCGUGCAGAAAGACGGCCCUAUGGGUUGUAAACUGCUUUUAUACGAGAAUAAACCUCUCAACGUGUAGGGAGUUGAAUGUACUGUAAGAAUAAGGAUCGGCUAACUCCGUGCCAGCAGCCGCCGUAACAC
rnacentral:rRNA from 1 species